AACGCGAAGAACCUUACCAACCUUUGACUGCCUCGUAUGGUCGCUGGAGACAGCUUCCUUCCCGCAAGGGGCGAGAGCACAGGUGCUGCAUGGCUGUCGUCAGCUCGUGUCGUGAGAUGUUGGGUUAAGUCCCGCAACGAGCGCAACCCUCGCCCUUAGUUGCCAUCAUUUAGUUGGGCACUCUAAGGGGACUGCCGGUGAUAAGCCGCGAGGAAGGUGGGGAUGACGUCAAGUCCUCAUGGCCCUUACAGGUUGGGCUACACACGUGCUACAAUGGCGGUGACAGUGGGAUGCAAUGGAGUAAUCCUGCGCAAAUCUCAAAAAGCCGUCUCAGUUCGGAUUGUGCUCUGCAACUCGAGCACAUGAAGUUGGAAUCGCUAGUAAUCGCAGAUCAGCACGCUGCGGUGAAUACGUUCCCGGGUCUUGUACACACCG
rnacentral:rRNA from 1 species